CUAAAUGCUAUGAUAAGAAAUAGUAACAUAAGGUAAACUAUAAGAGAGAAAUCCCCUUGGCUGAAAGGGAUUUUAAGUGUAACUUAUGUGAAUGCAUCUUUGAGCACUGUGCCGAAACUAUAGUAGACCACAGCGUGUACGCCCGUUAAAGCGUUGAGGUAUAAUUAAUUGUAUCAAAAUGAGAUGUUAUUGUAUAUUUACUACAAUAAUAAUUAGAGUGGAACCGCGGAAUUUAACUUCUGCCUCUAAA
rnacentral:ncRNA from 1 species